rnacentral:rRNA from 1 species
AACGAACGCUGGCGGCAGGCCUAACACAUGCAAGUCGAGCGCCCGCAAGGGAGCGGCGGACGGGUGAGUAACGCGUGGGAACGUGCCCUUUGCUACGGAAUAGCCUCGGGAAACUGAGAGUAAUACCGUAUGUGCCCUUCGGGGGACAGAUUUAUCGGCAAAGGAUCGGCCCGCGUUGGAAUAGGUAGUUGGUGGGGUAAUGGCCUACCAAGCCGACGAUCCAUAGCUGGUUUGAGAGGAUGAUCAGCCACACUGGGACUGAGACACGGCCCAGACUCCUACGGGAGGCAGCAGUGGGGAAUCUUAGACAAUGGGCGCAAGCCUGAUCUAGCCAUGCCGCGUGAGCGAUGAAGGCCUUAGGGUUGUAAAGCUCUUUCGUGGGGGAAGAUAAUGACGGUACCCCAAGAAGAAGCCCCGGCUAACUCCGUGCCAGCCGCCGCAGUAAAAC